rnacentral:rRNA from 1 species
ACGUAAUAGAUACCCUGGUAGUCCACGCCGUAAACGAUGAUCACUAGGUGUGUGCGGUAUCGACCCCGCACGUGCCGUAGCUAACGCAUGAAGUGAUCCGCCUGGGGAGUACGGCCGCAAGGUUGAAACUCAAAGGAAUUGACGGGGGCCCGCACAAGCGGUGGAGCAUGUGGAUUAAUACGUCACUAACCGUAGAACCUUACCCAGGCUUGACAUCCCUAGAACCCCGCUGAAAGGCGGGGGUUGCCUCGCAAGAGGAGCUAGGAGACAGGUGUUGCAUGGCUGUCGUCAGCUCGCGUCGUGAGAUGUUGGGUUAAGUCCCGCAACGAGCGCAACCCGUCACCGUCUGUUGCCAGCAUUCAGUUGGGCACUCUGACGGAA